AAGAGGUUAAGGUGCAUUGGUUGCCUUGUCCAUCAUGUAAGAAGACUUGGCCACCCACUUGGGAGCCUGAGGGUAAUGUCCAGAUGACCCUAACUGUCUGUUAAUGUGGCAUGGAUGACUGAAGUUCCAGAUGUUACCUUUCUCGUAAUAAACUUGGUUUCAUGGUUAAGA